AGACCCGAAACCCGGUGAUCUAGCCAUGGGCAGGUUGAAGGUUGGGUAACACUAACUGGAGGACCGAACCGACUAAUGUUGAAAAAUUAGCGGAUGACUUGUGGCUGGGGGUGAAAGGCCAAUCAAACCGGGAGAUAGCUGGUUCUCCCCGAAAGCUAUUUAGGUAGCGCCUCGUGAAUUCAUCUCCGGGGGUAGAGCACUGUUUCGGCAAGGGGGUCAUCCCGACUUACCAACCCGAUGCAAACUGCGAAUACCGGAGAAUGUUAUCACGGGAGACACACGGCGGGUGCUAACGUCCGUCGUGAAGAGGGAAACAACCCAGACCGCCAGCUAAGGUCCCAAAGUCAUGGUUAAGUGGGAAACGAUGUGGGAAGGCCCAGACAGCCAGGAUGUUGGCUUAGAAGCAGCCAUCAUUUAAAGAAAGCGUAAUAGCUCACUGGUCGAGUCGGCCUGCGCGGAAGAUGUAACGGGGCUAAACAAUGCACCGAAGCUGCGGCAGCGACACUGUGUGUUGUUGGGUAGGGGAGCGUUCUGUAAGCCUGUGAAGGUGUACUGUAAG
rnacentral:rRNA from 1 species